GGUGAGAUGGCCGAGCGGUCUAAGGCGCCAGACUAAGGAGCUCAUGACCAGGACGUUCGUCGUCCAUCCAAAUCUGGUCUCUUCGGGGGCGGGAGUUCGAAUCUCCCUCUCAUCA